GGAAGGCAGCCAUGGGGAAUAUUUGACAACCAGCCAAGAGUCUGAUCCAGCAAUUGCGUGUGCACGAUUAAGUUUUUUGGAAAGUAAAGUAAAUUCGGGAGGGAAGUACCAAAUGCAGGUACCAACAGAAGAAGGGCCGGCUAAAUCCGUGCCAGCAGCCGCGGUAAUACGUAAGUCUCGGGCGUUAUCCGGAUUUAUUGGGUGUAAAGGGAGUGUAGGCGGUUAGGUAAGUGUGAUGUGAAAAGUCAGGGCUCAACUCUAGAUUGCGUUGGAAACUGUUCAGAUAGAGUUGCGCAGAGGUUAGGGGAAAUUCAAGGGGAGAGGGGAAAUUGGUAGAUAUUCGUAGGAAACUCGAUGGGGAAACCCAGUUUCCGGGCAGAUAACGGCGGUAAAACCUGAAAGCGUGGGUAGCAAACCAGGAUAGAUACCCCGGUAGUUCACCACAUUAACGAAGGGAUGUAGGUGGUGGGCGUCGAACUUCAGCGCCCAAGCAAACGCGAUAAACAAUCCGCCUGGG
rnacentral:rRNA from 1 species